GAUGGAGGGUCGGGAGUUGGGGGAGCUAGUGGGUCAAGGGAAGGAGAAGCUGGUGUUUCAGGUGGAGGUUCUGGAAGCGGGGGAGUUGGAGGGUCUUCACGGGUCCGGAAGCCGCGGAAGACUAGUUGGGUCCCCCCUCCUAAAGAACCAGUUAACAAGGUUGAGAUAAUCCCGAGUGGAGAUGGGGCUUGGCUGGAUAGUAGUUUCACCGGCAAAGAUCGUGUAAGGCAAGUAAAUAAAGUGUUGGGCAAUAUCUGUCGUAUGAGAUGGCCUGGAUUGGUGAUUGAGAAUGGUAUUGAGGUCCCUGUCACAAGAUGGGAUCAAUACGGCCUUGCGGUUAACGCGCAACAUGGGAAUGCGCAAGGUGCAGUUUGGCACGACUUCUGGGUAUGUUUAUCUAUCUUCUUGCGAAGUUAUCAGCUCAAUGAUUGAUUCAUAUUAUGGAUUCUUGACUAUGUUUCUUUUUCAGAAAUAUUAUAAGUUGCCUGAUGGAGAUACUCAUACCGAGCAUGCACACUCCGUGUUCCAUAAGAACGCGGCAGAUGUUGUUGCGGAUAUGAUGUACUAUGUUCGAAUCCAGGUGAUUAAUCAAGCUAUGUUGAGUAGUGAAGGACGACGAGCAACCAGUAAGAGCGAGGCGUCACAAUAUGGACUUUCUAUGACUGAGCAAGAUUUUCUUCAGCAUUCGAUUCCAUGGAUAGCCGCCAAUGAUGCUGCUUGGCGUGCCUUAUGCCGUUAUUGGGCUUCGGAUAAUUUCAAGGCAAAGUCUAUACGACAAAGUUCCAAUCGUGGAAUCGAGUCGUAUCACAAGUAUGGAGGUGAUGAUCACUUUUGUUUGGCAAAACGAAUGGUAAGUACAGGAAACUAGCAGUGGUGUAGUUUUGUUGAUUGUAUAUGACUUGAUGUCAUUUCUGAUUAUAAUGUUUGUCAAAUGUACGUACAGGAAGCUAGCAGUGGUGUAGUGCCUAGUGAUGUUCAAAUAUACCUGAGGGGGCACAGAGGACCUGAUCCUGCAAAUCCAGAUGUGUUGUGUAGCCAAAAGGCAACAGAUCGUCUGGUGAGUGUUUUGAAAUGCUUGGUAGAUUUUGUUCAUAUGAAUUUAUGUAUGUGCCCAGUGAUGUAAGAUUGCAUUGUUCUUUUGUAUGGAGGCUGCAUAUGCUGAGGCGAUGUCUAGUCAGCACGGAUCGGACUAUGAUUGGAGGACCGCACCUAUUGAUCCUCAGGCUGUGUAUGCAAGUGGUGGAAAACCCCAUGGAAGGUACUCGAUUUUCGAUAACGUCAUCGACUCGAGCCAGGUGACGGUUCAGAGGGGAGGUUCGUCGAGGUCUGCUGCUCGUAGCUCCCGUCGCUCUACUCAGGAUACUGCAGAAGUUGAGCAACUACGAGAAGAGCUUAGGCAACAUCAGGAGCGGCAAAGGGUUCAGGAGGAAUACUUGAGGCAGCAUGCUGCUCAACAAGAAUACUAUGCUACUCAGUUUCAACAACAGCAAGCACUGAUACAAGUAAGUUCAAAAAGAUCAUUCAUUU